rnacentral:sRNA from 1 species
UGCAAGGUCAGCACUAUACGUCGGAUGC